UACGAAGGGGGCUAGCGUUGCUCGGAAUUACUGGGCGUAAAGCGCACGUAGGCGGUCUUUUAAGUCGGGGGUGAAAUCCUGGAGCUCAACUCCAGAACUGCCUUCGAUACUGGAAGACUUGAGUCCGGGAGAGGUGAGUGGAACUGCGAGUGUAGAGGUGAAAAUUCGUAGAUAUUCGCAAGAACACCAGUGGCGAAGGCGGCUCACUGGCCCGGUACUGACGCUGAGGUGCGAAA
rnacentral:rRNA from 1 species